rfam:Streptomyces sp. CB01249 scaffold10, whole genome shotgun sequence.
CUUGAGCGAGCCCAGCCACAGCGGCGCUUCGGGGCUGUGCUCCUCGCCGUAGGUGGCCAGCAGCGCCUGCGCCUC